CAACUACUUUCUCCUACUUUUAGCACAUUUAAGUAAAAUCUCCUGAUCUAUAAAUUUAUCCCAGAGAAGCUUGUGAUUUAUCUUUCUCUCUUCCAGCUUUUUCUUCAAGUGCUCCACCUCCGAUCCAGUCUCUUAGAUUUUUUAGAGCAGUUCUGGGGAGGUCUAAACUUUCUUAAAGUAGAAUGCCCAUCUCCUCGAGGAACUCUCUCUCCAUGACUUGUCCCCUUAGAAGUCCUGGUCCUCUUGGAUGGACCCCCACUAGGACUCCUUCGAGGGUGAGUUUCAAGAUGAGGAGAGCCUCUUUUCCCUUCAUGUGCCCUCCUCAGAUGCUCCAAAUCAUCACGGGCCUGGUGAUAGUCUCUCUCAGCCUCAAAUUUUUGUUUCUUGAGAGUUCUAAUCCACUCCUCGAGACCUUCUAUCUUCUUGUCGUCC
rnacentral:lncRNA from 1 species